UACGGGGGGGGCAAGCGUCGUUCGGAAUUACUGGGCGUAAAGGGCUCGUAGGUGGCCAACUAAGUCAGACGUGAAAUCCCUCGGCUUAACCGGGGAACUGCGUCUGAUACUGGAUGGCUUGAGUUCGGGAGAGGGAUGCGGAAUUCCAGGUGUAGCGGUGAAAUGCGUAGAUAUCUGGAGGAACACCGGUGGCGAAGGCGGCAUCCUGGACCGACACUGACACUGAGGAGCGAAAGCCAGGGGAGCAAACGGG
rnacentral:rRNA from 1 species